AUAUUAGAGAUAAACAAUUGUACGUACUUUUAAAAUUUGUCAUUUAUUCUGUGCGAUUGAUAAUCUAUUUUCAUUGUUUUUUGAUAGUAUAAAAACUAGGAAAUUAACAAAAGUGAUUGGUAACUGCAUUACGAUCUUUGCACAUUUUCUGCUUUCUGAUUGGUGCACUUUUUAAUAUCUAUGUUUUCCGAAGAAAUUAUUGGUUGAAUUACUUUAAGCGCCAUAAUCUUGAGAAAUGAAUAAAGCAAUGCCAGAAGAAUGAAAACUGAAAUGAUAGAGGGAGCUAUAUGAUCUUUCUACCAAUCAAAGUGAAUAAUCAUUGUUGUGGGAUAUUUUGAAAUGAAGCAGUAACCGUUUGCCGCUACAGUUAGAAUACGAUUUACGAAGGAGGAAGGAAUGUUAACGACGCUUUUUCUCUUCAAACUUUCUAAGUUUGCUUUGUAAAUUGUAAGCAGUACGUUAUUGUCUUAGUUCUGUGAAGAGAGAUAUGAAGUAAAAGUAAAUAUUCUAUUUAAUAAAAAUAACUAUCUAGUUGUUGCGCAAAUAUUUUGAAUUUUUGAAACUAAAAAUCUAUAUUAUAAAAAUGAAUAACACAUUAGAUUCUAUACGACCAUCAGAUAAAACUCACAGCCGUGAAGAAAUGUCAUAUUUGUUUGGUAGAGAUCCUAGUAUUUUAGCUUAUGGACAAAGACCUUGUCCAUCUCAAGAAACAAAGAAAAAUUUACUUUCUGCAUAUGAAAUUGAAUUUGACUCGGCAGAAAACAUAGCAUCCUUGCUUUCUGAUUCACAGUCCUUAAAAACAAUAAAAGUAUAUUUACGUUUAAAGCCAUUUCCAAGAAAAGUUAAGUUAUUACCGCAACAAGAAGAAGCUUAUAAAGUUAUCAAUUCCACUACCUUGGCCACAAAGUUGCCAUGUUUAGAGAAUAACAGUAGUUUUGCAAGAUCUAAAACUAGUGAGAUCACAUCUAGAACGUAUACUUUCACUCAAACAUUUGGACCAGAAAUAACGCAGUUAGAAUUAUUUGAUCAAGCAAUAAAGCAACAGAUGUUCGAUUUUUUAGCUGGACAAAGUUGUAAUGUGAUGACUUAUGGUACUACAAAUUCUGGAAAGUCAUAUACGUUGCAAGGAACUAUCACAUCACCUGGUAUCAUACCACGUGCCUUAGAAUUUGUUUUUUCUAUUAUCACUCCAAAGCCUAUACCUUCAUAUAAGCCUGUACAUCAUUGCGACGCAAUUUUUCUUAAUUCUCUUGAACGAGCUCAAGAGUUAGAAGCUAAAACUAAAUUAUUAAGUUUUAGUUCAGUAGAUAAAAAUCAGUAUAUAAAUACUUACAAGCAAAUGCAAACUAUAUUGCAAGAGGAAUCACCACUAAGGCCCAGCGAAUGCAGUGAUGCUCAUUAUUCAGUGUGGGUAUCCUUUGCAGAAAUAUAUAAUGAAACUAUAUAUGAUCUUUUGAGUAUUGAUUGUCAAAAAAAAAAAGUGCCACUAAAACUAGCAACCGAUAAUCGAGGAAGAGCUUUCAUCAAAGGUUUGAAUACUGUUUAUGUAAAUUCUGGUGCAGAGGCAUAUCAAGUUUUAAUGGCUGGCCAAUAUAAUUUAAAAGUAGCAGCAACAGCUUUAAAUGCAAGAAGUUCAAGAUCUCAUUGUAUAUUUACUAUUAAAUUAUUGAAGUAUUGUUCGGAAAAUCUAACAGAUUCUGUGGAUAUAAGCACAUUUUCCUUUUGUGACUUGGCUGGUUCCGAACGUUUAAAGAAGACAUUGAAUAUCGGUGAUAGAUUAAAGGAAGCACAAAAUAUUAACACAAGUUUGUUGGUCCUAGGGAAAUGUUUAAAGUCAAUUUAUGAUGGUCAAUUAUCAAAACUAAAAUCUGAACCUAUCAUUGGACCUUUCAGGGAAUCAAAAUUAACAAGAUUAUUUCAAAGAGCAUUAUCUGGCAGAGAACAAAUUGCUUUAAUUGUUAAUGUUAAUCCUUUACCAAAUCUUUAUAUAGAAACACAAAAUGUAUUGAAUUUUGCAGCAAUUGCAAAAAAAAUAAUCAUAGAACCAAAAAUAAAAGAACAGAGAAAAGCAAAUUCGAGGUUUUCAAAAAUAGUUCAAAAAAGUAUACAAAGUGUGACAAAUUGGGAUGAUACAGUUUUGGAAAGUGCAGAUUCGCUAAAUACAGAGGCAGAGGCAGAUAUAUUGAAGUUUUCUUCUGAAGAAGAAUAUGAACAUUUAUUAAUGGAAAAUAAAGAAUUAAGAAAAGAGAUUACUGAUUUGAAAAAUAUGGCCUUGACUCGUGACUUCGAAAUUCGUCAAGAAAUGGUAGAUACUUACACUACCAUCAUAAAGAAGCUUGAGAAUGAUUGGAAGGCUCGUAUAAGAGAUGUUGAAGAACAACAAGAAGAUACCUUGCAAUGGUCUAUCAAACAAGUUGAAAAAUACUAUAAACAAAAAAUGGCACAGUUAAGCAGUCGAAAAAGGCAACGAUCUUGUUUAUCCGAUGAAAAUGAUUAUGCUGAUCAAACUAAUGUAUUUGAAUCUGAAAUUUCUCAAUUAACUUCUAAAGUAGUGUCUAUGAAAGAUACUAUUCAAGAAUUAAAAAAAAGUAAUCAAGUUUUGAGUAUAGAAAAAAAUAAAAUUGAAUUUGAAUUGAGCUUGACGAAGGAUGAUUUAAAACAUGCGAAAUGUUUAUUGGAUGCUGCUCAGAAAGAUCUCUCUAAUGGCGAAGAAACAGAAUAUUAUAUAGAAGAGAUAAAGUCGCAAUUAUCUUCUAAGGAAGAACAUAUCAAGAAACUUAAAGAAUUUUUGAAUGAAGCAAAAGAAGAAUAUAUUACUAUUACAAAUGAUGCACGAAAAAAAGAAAUUCAAAUAAAAGAACAAGAGGAACUAAUGGUAGAAUAUGAAGACAAAAUAGACGAGUUGCAAGAACAAUUCGAUCGAGCUAAUUAUUGUCUUGCAGAGCAAACUAAAACUAUAGAAGUAUUAGAAGAUAAUAAUCAGUCAAUGAUGGAUAAAAUAUUUGAACUAGAAAAUAAGCUGAAGUUACUGAAUGUAAAGUAUGAAGUUACUUCUUGCAAGGAGGAAAUGUCAGAAAAAUCAGAAAAUUAUGUAACAAGUGAUUCUUGUGAGGAUGUAAUUAUAAAAACAGAAUUAAUUUCGGAAGAUGAAAUACAAUUAGAAGAAAAAAUAAAUAAUUUGGAUACAAAGAAAGAGAUUUCUGAAGAAAAAAUAAUGCUUGAAUCAGAGGAAAAAGGAAUCCAAACAAAAUGUGAAGAGUUAGUAUCGAAAGAAGAUAAAAGCUGUCAAACUAUUACAUUAGUCACACAAGAAGUAAUCAUGCAAACUAGUAUUUUAGAAGAGUUUUCAAAAGAGAUAUCUGUUCAAACGAAUGAUAAUAUAAAUUACGAAGAAAGGGAGAAAGAAUACAAAGAACUAAAGGCUAAGUGUAACGAAGUAGAAGAAGAGUACAAACAGGCACAUAUAAAACUAGGAGAUGAUCUUAAAAUUAUAAAAGAACUGCAAGAAAAAAUUACCGAGUUAGAUAUAAAUUUAGAUGCUAAGCAAAAAGAAAAAUAUGAUCUAGAGAUGUUAAUGGAAGAAAAUAUAAAACAACAGCAGGCGCUGCAGGAAAAAUUAGAAGAAUUUAAUAAAAAGGAAAAGGAUAAGGACGAUGAAAUUAUAGCUAUCCAAAAAGAACUGAAACAAAUGAUACAAGCGAAAGAUGCCGAAGAAAAAUCUACUCUUUCUAUGGAAAAAGAACUUAAGGAGACAUUGCGAGCUUUGGAUGAUACCAAGAAAGUUUUAUCUUAUAAGGAACAGCAAGUGGAAAAUUUAGAAACACGGUUGAAAUCUUUAGAACAAACAGCAAAGUUUUUGGAAAUUCUUCAAAAAGAUAAAGAGGAACAACAAUCCGAAAGGGAGAAACUAAGAAAAAUCAACGACAUGUUAAAAGAAGAUCUUGCCACUAAAGAACGUGAAAUGGAAGAAUUUAAAAAGAACAGAAAUGAAACUUUAAAUAAAUAUGAUAAUUUGAUAAAGUCUUUACAAGAGGAUGUAGACAGACAGAAACGUGAGGUCAUGAGGUAUCAAGAAUUAUUUUGUAGACAAACUACACCAACACCAAGUAAGGAAGAAUGUAAAAAAUUGCGAAGUCAUGUUGAAUACUUACAAGAAAAGCUAAAAAAUUACGAAACGUCACAGAAGUCGAAAGAAAACGAAAAUAAUACUGAAAAUGAAGUGGUAUCUAUUGAACGUUCUACAAAAAGAAAAGGUAGAAAAAAGGAAGCUCCAUUGCCACCCCAACCUGAAGUCAUUGAUCUAUCAGGUUCAGAAUCUAAACGCGAUGCAAAGCAUACAGUAGAACUUCCAGGUAGUGAACAAACAGAGAGAAAAAGAACAACUCGGAAAAAGAAAUUAUUCAUAGCGAAUGACGAAUCUUUGCAAGAUAUUGAUCCUGUUGAGAUUGAUUCUACUCCAUCAAUACCACUUCGUAGUUUAAGAAGUAGAAGAAAGUAAGUUUUUGAUACUGUAUAUAGAAAACCAGUUAUGAAAUAGAAUACUUUUUCGAUAACCCUUGAAGAGUAACAUAAUUAAGUAUCAUUAUUCGAAGAUCCCUGUCACUGUGAUAAAUACUUCUCAUAAUUAAAAUAAGAGGAUACACACAAGUUGUUAAUAGUGUAUAUAAAUACCGAAGUAUUCAUAAAUAUUAAAGAAUGUAUUAAGACUGUUUGUUAUUGUAUAUAUGUUAUACUAUAAGACUAUAUACAGAGUGAGUUUUUUAAAUUUAGACACUUAAAUAUCUUUAAAACAAUACAUUUUUAAAAAGAAACUUUGAAAAUUGUUUCGUUAUGAAGGCAGGCGGGGGGCAAACGCGACAGAAUUAUUUCUUUAUAAUUCGGUGGACGUUUUCGAGAUUACUUUAGGUAGUAACAACUGAUGUACUUUCAAGCCAAUUCCUCUGCGUACAUUCAAUACCGAAGAGACUCGUAUGAGAUAAUGAACGCUUGUAAAUAAUAAAAUUUGAUUUAGAUUAACACAUCAUUUUUUAAGAUUGUUACGUUGAUUACAAAUUUUUUACUCAGUUCCGUGAGUACUAUAUAUAAGCUCUUAAAGUAUCGGAUUUUUAUUCUUUUAACACUCUGUAUGUCUAUAUUUUAGCAGUGCCAAUUUAAUGAAAAAUUAAAACUUCACCUCGUAUAAACUUAUUGUUUUGGAGCUUUCUAUUGUAUUUUUCUUUUUUUUUUAUUCUUAUAAUUACACGUUCCAUUUUUUAUAUUUACUUAUUUUUAAUAGUUAGGAAAGAUUAUAUUUUUAUAUGAUCCAAUGGAUAAUAAAAAUAAUAUUUAAACACACAAAACGGGUUUGUAAUAUUUUAAAUAAAAACAUACUUUAUAGAAACAUUCUGUAUUAUUUAUGCCAGGAACAUUAGUGCAAGGAUAAGAGAUUAGUCAGGAUAUUUUAUUUCUUUUUAUUUCUUACGAUGUACACGACUUUUGUUGUUACAUUCCCGCAAUUAUAUUAAUAAUGUUUCCAUAGUUCUGUUAUUUUAUGCUUGCGCCAUUAUAUUUUCAUUAAUAUUCAUUAUAUAUUAUCAUACUUUCAAUGGAGUCAACAACAUAUAUAUAUUUAUUUAUAUGUAUAUAUGUAUAUAUUUAUAUAGCUAUCGGGUGUUGUAUGCUCGUGUUUUAUGAGUGAAUGCACUGUACCGUAAGAUAGCUUUAUUAUACAAUUCACAUUCAUUUUAUUUUAUUUUAUUUUAUUUUAUUUUACUUUUAUCUUUUAUUUAAUUAUUUUUUUUUCUUUUUUUUUCUUUUUUUCUUAAAUCUGGGGGCU